GACGAACGCUGGCGGCGCGCCUAACACAUGCAAGUCGAACGGAGCUUGUUUGUUUGAUUCUUUCGGGAUGACGACUUAUAAGCUUAGUGGCGAACGGGUGAGUAACACGUGAGUAACCUGCCCCAGAGUGGGGGACAACAGUUGGAAACGACUGCUAAUACCGCAUAAGCCCACGGCCCGGCAUCGGGUUGAGGGAAAAGGAUUUAUUCGCUUCAGGAUGGACUCGCGUCCAAUUAGCUAGUUGGUGAGGUAACGGCCCACCAAGGCGACGAUUGGUAGCCGGACUGAGAGGUUGAACGGCCACAUUGGGACUGAGACACGGCCCAG
rnacentral:rRNA from 1 species